rnacentral:rRNA from 1 species
CAGUCGCCACGGUAAUACGAAGGGGGCUAGCGUUGCUCGGAAUGACUGGGCGUAAAGGGCGCGUAGGCGGCGAUCAAAGUCAGGCGUGAAAUUCCUGGGCUCAACCUGGGGGCUGCGCUUGAUACUUGGUUGCUUGAGUGGGGAAGAGGGUCGUGGAAUUCCCAGUGUAGAGGUGAAAUUCGUAGAUAUUGGGAAGAACACCGGUGGCGAAGGCGGCGACCUGGUCCUUGACUGACGCUGAGGCGCGAAAGCGUGGGGAGCAAACAGGAUUAGAUACCCCGGUAGUCCCUGUCUCUUAUAA